UACGUAGGUGGCAAGCGUUGUCCGGAUUUACUGGGCGUAAAGGGCUUGUAGGCGGUUUGUUAAGUCUGGUGUGAAAUCUCCCGGCUCAACCGGGAGGGGUCAUCGGAUACUGGCAGACUAGAGACCUGUAGAGGAAAGCAGAAUUCCCGGUGUAGCGGUGAAAUGCGUAGAUAUCGGGAGGAAUACCAGUGGCGAAGGCGGCUUUCUGGGCCUGUUCUGACGCUGAGGAGCGAAAGCGUGGGGAGCAAACCGG
rnacentral:rRNA from 1 species